rnacentral:rRNA from 1 species
AUACGGAGGAUCCGAGCGUUAUCCGGAUUUAUUGGGUUUAAAGGGUGCGCAGGCGGGAGAUUAAGUCGGCGGUGAAAUUUUGCAGCUCAACUGUAAAAGUGCCUUCGAAACUGGUUUCCUUGAGUGUAGAUGAAGUAGGCGGAAUUUGUGGUGUAGCGGUGAAAUGCAUAGAUAUCACGAGGAACUCCGAUUGCGCGGCAGCUUACUAAACUACUACUGACGCUCAGGCACGAAGGCGUGGGGAUCAAACAGGAUUAGAUACCCUGGUAGUCCACGCAGUAAACGAUGAUUACUAGCUGUUUGCGAUACAAUGUAAGCGGCUGAGCGAAAGCGUUAAGUAAUCCACCUGGGGAGUACGUUCGCAAGAAUGAAACUUAAAGGAAUUGACGGGG